CGGUGAAAGUAAGUAGAUAUAUGGAAGAACACCAGUGGCGAAGGACGGCGGUCUUGUGUGUAACUGACGCUGAGGCUCGAAAGCACGGGUAGCGAACACGAUUAGAUACCCCCGUAGUCCACCCCGUAAACGAUGAGUGCUAUGUGUUGGAGGGUGUCCGCCCUCCAGUGCCGCAGCUAACGCACUAAGCACUCCGCCUGGGGAGUACGACCGCAAGGGUUGAAACUCAAAGGAAUUGACGGGGGCCCGCACAAGCGGUGGAGCAUGUGGUUUAAUUUUAAGCAACGCGAAGAACAUCCCCACCUCUUGACAUCUUUUGAUCCCAUGAGAGAUCAGGUUUUCCCCUUCGGGGGCAAAAUGACAGGUGGUGCAUGGUGGUCGUCAGCUCGUGUCGUGAGUGUUGGGUUAAGUCCCGCAACGAGCGCAACCCUUAUGACUAGUUGCCAGCAUUUAGUUGGGCGCUCUUGUAAGACUCCCGCCGACAACCCGCAGGAAGAUGGGGAGGACGUCAAAUCAUCAUGCCCCCUAUGACCUGGGCUACACACGUGCUACAAUGGAUGGUACAACGAGUUGCGAGACCGCGAGGUCAAGCUAAUCUCUUAAAGCCAUUUUCAGUUCGGACUGUAGGCUGCAACUCUCCUCCACGAAGUAGGAAUCGCUAGUAAUCCGCAGGACUCAGCACGCCGCGGUGAAUACGGUUCCCGGGCCUCGUACACACCGCCCGUCACACCACGAGAGUUUGUAACACCCGAAGCCGCCUGCGCUCGCUUUU
rnacentral:rRNA from 1 species